rnacentral:ncRNA from 1 species
UAUCUUCGGGGUUUGGUGAAAUUCCAUACCGGCGGUGAGGGCGUUUUUGCUCAUAGUCCGCGACCCUGUUUUUUGCAGGCUGAACAGGUGCGAAUCCUGUACCGACGGUAAAGUCCGGAUGAGAGAAGAU